AUGCACUGCAUACAAAUGUACAUGAACAACAUCAGGAAACUUCAGGAAGAAUGCAGCAGAUCAGCCGAGCCGGUGACAGUAUCUGCUUUCUGGUUAGCUUGCCAAGUUGCCAACCACGCCCAAGGCCAGGGAAGGAAGGGAUUCAAGACUGACACCGACGGCGCAACAAACAACGGCCACCCAUUGCGAAACCAUUGGCCGACCCUAGGUUUGUUCCAGAAGCCACCAAGUUCAGCAGGCCGGAUUUUAUAUACACAUCUAAUCCAAUGGCUGGGGCAGUGUGUGUACCUGAAACCAAAGAAGAUAUUUAAUUACCAAAACCAUCCAAGAUAUUUUCUCAACCUACACAAGUUGCUUGCCAAGUUGCCAACAGCUCAACCCGAGAACUGCCGCUGCGAUAGAUAUUUUCCAUUGCUGCAAGUUGCUCCUCCCCGGAGAAAACGUGCACUGGCUCCUCCCUAA
rnacentral:rRNA from 1 species